GGAAAACAGAAACAAUUGCAAUCCUCUCCAAUACACUACAACAUUAAAUGAAACAGAAAACACAUUCACUGGUUUGCAAUGCCACCUUCAAAGAGAAAGACAUUCUUUCUCUUGUUUUCUCCUUAAACAGAACUGAAGUGAGACAGCAACCAUGAUUCUUGGACCAAGGAAAGUGAACAACUCAGGCUCUAAAUGCUACCAUCCAUUCUGUUUCCAUUAAGAAUUAUCUGGGAUUUUAUGGGACAUAUUCUAUUGUCUUAGGCUUUCUUAAGUAAGACAAUCAUGCAGGUUUCAUAAGGGAGUCACUGAAGGAUGUUUUAGACUGCUUUGAUGUUUUUCAUUGUUGUACUCCAAUAGUAGCAUUUCCAUUUCCUUAGAAAUGUGUCCAUUUCUCUCCAUCUGUCUUCUCUCCAUAAAUCACAAUAAAAGCAUACUUGUGAACA
rnacentral:lncRNA from 1 species